rnacentral:rRNA from 1 species
GUGACCUCMAAUCAGGUAGGACUACCCGCUGAACUUAAGCAUAUCAAUAAGCGGAGGAAAAGAAACUAACAAGGAUUCCCCUAGUAACUGCGAGUGAAGCGGGAAAAGCUCAAAUUUAAAAUCUGUCAGUCU